UGCGUCCAGGACGCGCGCGCGCGCACGCACGUCGGCGUAGGCACGCAACGCGCGCGCCCACGCCCACAGUAAAUUCCCAAGGAACAUUCCUCAAAGUGAAAGUGAGCAUCUGUUUCGCUCCUUGAGUCUCUUGAUGAAACAAAGGCAGCAUUCAUCAUAAACACUACGCAAGACAUGAAACUGCUCCGCGGCGGCCAGGAGGCAAAGCGGCCUGUAAACACGCAAUCGUCGUCAAUACAGUGCACCGUCAAAACGUCCUAAAUAUUACAACAUUGCAAGCCGGAAAGGACCCACUGCUGGCGACCGCGGCAGAAUGAAUGGAAGAACAUUGAGCAGAUUCCAACACAGUGUGCGCUAGUUUAGCCGGCCAGCUGGCAAACUAGAAAGGACGCAGCUGGGCCUAGCCAGCGAGGAUUUGGAUUUACGCCACCGAAAAAAGUGUAAACCGGCCCAAGUUCUGCCUUCCGUAACGAUACGGCGAUGGAUCCUGGUUACAGGAAGUCAUUUUUUUAAAAUUCUCUGUUAAGAAAGACUAUAUUAGUGCUGUACUGAGGAGCGCAGACCGUUUUUAUGUACAGCACUGUAGAUCUGUCUGUCAUAUACUGCCCCCCAGGUGGCCAAGGUGGGCACAACAGAAGGAGCCACACAAUGCCUAUUGAAUUGAUGCAAACAGCGACAAAAACUGUUACAUUUUUUUUGUUUCGAUUAAAUUGUCAUUGUUUUUUUUUAUUAUAUAAAGAACAAUAUUAUAAAGUGCAAUUUUCUUGUAUGUCAAUGCACCACUACAGUCAGAUAACAAAAAAAUGGUACUGUAUGCAUGUAUGAUGUAUUCUUUGCACACACGCGUACCUCGUGCGAUGAACGCUCAAGACGUGUGGCGAACAUUCACACCAUCGCCCGGAGAUGUCGGCAAAUCUCGCGAGCAUUUAAAGCGAAAUAUUGUGAUCGAAGGACUUUGUUCGCAUAUAAAAAGUUGUGUCACUGGAGUGCCCGCCCUGCUAUCAAGUGUGAAAUUAAACAACCAAGUCAAUCUUUAGUGAAGCCACUGAGAACUAACUACAGUAGGCUCGUUCCAUUUAUUUAUUUAUUUAUUUAUUUUGCCAUUUUGUAGGAGAGUGAUUUAAAGUUUUAU